rnacentral:piRNA from 1 species
UCAGCCAACGGGCCUAUCAAGAGUCACGA